GGCCGCAAUGUUCUAUAUUGUGAUUGCUCUUCAUGUUUAUUGACAAUGAUAGGCUCAGCUAUGAUAUCCUUGUUGGUAUAUCAGAUGGUCCAAAUCCCAUUAUUGAAUAUUUACCUGGAAACGUUUUAAGGUUGUUCUAGGAGAUCACUUGUCUUGCUUGGAGGCUUUCACAUUGAUCUGAUUUUGGUUUCUAUAUUGAAGGAUUCCUAAUACAAUGUACUACCAUUAUGUCUGCUUUACC